GACUAUAACACGGCUAAUCUACUUUGAAAUUCUCCAGCUUUCAGGCUCUCUAUCAAAAAAGCUGUUUUUGAACUUGCCUCUUAUGGAUGCAUCCACCAUGAGCAUGGACUUACCACUCACUGGCCUGGGAAAGGCAACCAGAAUUGAGAGCAUUAUGAUUUCUUCACUCCUCACUCAGUGAGCUGACUCUGUGUGAUCUCAUGACGGGAGAGAGCUUUCUGGUGUGGCAUCCAGGACCUGGGCCAUGCUGCAGAGGCGUGGACCACUGACACACACAACAUCUGUCUGGUGUUCAGAUAGAAGUCAUGCGGCCAACACUCAGGAACCCCAGUCAAGAAUUUAGAAGUGUAGAAGAAAGAGCUACUUUUCCUCCUUACAUCAACAAAGUGCACUGGAAACUAUAAAAAGAUCUGCGUGUCACUCCCCUGCCAGGAAAAAAGAGGAAAGAAAGAAAGAAAAGAAAAGAAAAGAAAGAAAGAAAGAAAGAAAGAAAGAAAGGAGAAAGAAAGAAAAGAAGAAAAAGAAAGAGAAAGAAAAGAAAGAAAAAGAAAAAAGAAAGAAAAGAAGAAAGAAAGAAAAGAAAAGAAAGAAAGAAAGAAAAGAAAGAAAGAAAAGAAGAAAAGAAAGAAAGAAAGAGAAAGAAAAGAAAGAAAAAGAAAAAAGAAAGAAAAGAAGCAAGAAAGAAAAAGAAAAGCCUAACAAACACGAAAAAAAAAAAAAAAAAAAAAAAAGCCAGAGCAACUGGAAUCUCAGUUUUGAGGAAACACAUGGGAUUGAAGCAUCCGCCGCAACUCUGCAACGACUGCCACAUGUGACCCCUCCUCCCCCCUCUCCCCUGCGCGGAAUCCUGGAUGUCACCGGGCUGGGCGGAGGAGGCCGUGCUCGCAGGCAAGUGUGCGGCAGCGGGGGCCCUGCGGGGCGGGGCAGCUGACGCCGCUCGCGGCGCGGGGAGGGUCUUCCAGGAAGCCGCGGGCUCGGCUGAGGACGCGGCUGCGGGUCGCGGCCGGGGCCGCGCCGCCCGGACCGGCACGUAGCGCCCAGCGUGACUCAGCGCUGACUCACCGCGCUCGCUGCCAGGGGACUUCCCCGUCAGCCGCUGCCGCUCGCCGGUCCUCGCCGCCGCCUGCUCCGCGAGCCCUUUCCUGCACGCCAGACCAGUCCCGGCGCUUUCAGCAGAGCGGGGCCGACUUUACAGCCUUGGAAUCCCGACCGAAGCGGGGAAGUGACCGGCUUUGUUUUCUUGGAUUUGAAGAGCUCAAUGGCCCACUAAUCAAAUUCUUUCAUCAAAGGCUUGUUGGAACAAAUCCCUAACAUCGUCCUUCCACGGUGACUUGUAGGUGACCUCCGCUCAGAGUUUGCUUCUGUCGUCCUAGGCCUGCAUCUUAUUUUUAUCCCGCAUUUUCUUGGGUUAUCUUUUCAAUAUGUUUGGUAACUAGUCUUGGCACAAACCCACAAGGGCAGUGACGCAAAUCAGGUUGGAACUUGGCAUGAUGUGCGGGCCUGGGUGACUUACUGUAAAAACGGUUCAUAAAGACGUUACUAUCUGCCAUCUCGGUUGCUGAUUAGAUGCCCUGCUCAUUUUCAGUCUGUCACUACCCUCUGAAAGGUCCCGGGACAGAAUGUUAAAAUGCAGAUUCUUGAGCAGUCGUACUUACUUCUUCGUCUCCAGGAUUCUACAUGGAGAACAAUAAUACAGCACGGUUUCUCCAACUGCAGCUCACGGACCAUUCACUGCAUGGAGAGUGGCUGGGGGGAUGUGGUCACAGCGCAGGUUCUUAGACCCCGCUCCAAGCCAUAGACGCAGAAUGUCUUGCGGUGGGGCCUGGAAAUCCUUUUUUUUUUUUGGAAGAUUUUAUUUAUGUAUUUGUCAGAGAGAGAGACAGAACACAAGCAGGGGGAGAGGAAGGCAGAGGGAGAAGCAGGCGCCCCACUGAGCAAGGAGCCUGAUAUGGGACUGGGUCCCAGGACCCUGGGAUCAUGACCUGAGGCAGUCGCUUCACCAACUGAGGCACCCAGGCAUCCCUGGAAAUGCAUCUUAAUGAGCGGCCCAUCAGAGAUGCCUAUGUACACUAAAGUUCAAAAACUACUAGCCAGAGGAUGACGGUCUUUCUGUGAAGACGCUAGGAAACAUUCUCACGAUGGAGAACACUUUGUUCUAAAACUGAUUUUGAAGUUCUGAUAGCAGGCAACCCGAUUUCUAAAACUGGUUAUAUAUACAAUUUUGUUCAACUGUAUAUUAAUAUAGACACAUUAUUUUUCUUUUUAAUUAGACAUUCGGCUAUGAAGUAAAAUGUAGUACGUAUAGAGUAAAUUUUAUUUCAGACCUGUUAUUUCCUAAACCUGACUUUGCAUCAGAAUUAGCUACAGAGCCUUUUAACACUAAUUCCUGGACCAGACCUCCCGCCUAAAGAAACAUUAUCUCUGAAGAUGAAACCUAAGAACAGGCAAUCCGAAAAGCUCUGAAAGUUAGUCUCUGGACCUUUGCAAAUGAUCACUCUUCCCAAGUACAAGAGAAACUUCACUAACUUCAAGGUAGUUGGCUUGUAGCAUUCUACUAUGGUGCCCACUCAUCUCUGCAUCACAAUUGCAAUUGUGAUGAAAUCACAAUUGAAAAAAUAAAAUGAAAAGUGACCACAUAAGAUACCAACUUAGGGGCGCCUGGGUGGCUCAGUUGGUUAAGCGACUGCCUUCGGCUCAGGUCAUGAUCCUGGAGUCCCUGGAUCGAGCCCUGCAACGGGCUCCCUGCUCAGCAGGGAGUCUGCUUCUCCCUCUGAUCCUUCCCCCUCUCAUGCUCUCUCUGUCUCAUUCUCUCUCUCAAAUAAAUAAAUAAAAUCUUUAAAAAAAAAAAAAGAUACCAACUUAGUAUUAUAUUGAUAAAUGUAUGUCUUUAGAAAGCAAAUUUGAAAUCUUUUUUUUUUUUUUUUUUUUUUUUUUUUAGAGGAGCUAUUGGGAGAGGUUGGGAGAUUGGAGAAUAAUCUCAGAGUCUAUUUUGAAAUUUUUUCUAUUCUUCCCUGGGAUAUUUUAUUUGUUUACUCAUUUUCUUUUCAUCUCGCUGGGUAAAUUUCCCCCACUUUAUCCCUGUUAGCAUUGUGGCAAAAAGCCUGGAUCUGACACAUAUCUGACAAGAGAGCUCUCCUUGCUGACUCUUCUCUAAGUGUGGUCUUUGGACCAGCAGCAUGGACAUCACCUGGAAAUCUGUAAGAAAUGCAGACUCUCAGGCUCGACCAGAACUACCAUAUCAGAAUCAACACUUUAGCAAGAUCUCCAGAUUUACUUAUUUAUUUGAGAGAGAAAGAGCGGACCUGCCCAAGCAGACUCCUGGCUAAAUGCAGAACGAGAAGGAGGGCUCCAUCCCAUGACCAUGAGAUCAUGACCUGAGCCGAAAUCAAGAGUCUGAUGCUUAACUGACUGGGACACCCAGGCGACCCUUAAAUGUACUUCUUUAAUGUUCUUUUUAAAGAUUUAUUUAUCUGGGAGAGAGAGCUUUGCCCACGUGAGCACAGGGAGGGGAUUGUGGGAAGGGGCAGAGGGAGAGGCAGAUAAAAGUCUUAAGUAGACUCCAUGCUGAGCUGGAGCCUUACUCAGGACUCAGUCUCAUGACCCUGAGAUCAGAACCUGAGCCAAAACCAAGAGUCCGACGCUCCACCAACUGCACCACCCAGGUGCCCCUCUUUAAUGUUUCUGAUCAAGAUAAAGAAGUGACAUUUAUCGGGGCGCCUGGGUGGCUCAGUUGGUUAAGCGACUGCCUUCGGCUCAGGUCAUGAUCCUGGAGUCCCAGGAUCGAGUCCCGCAUCGGGCUCCCUACUCAGCAGGGAGUCUGCUUCUCCCUCUCCCACUCCCCGUUUGUGUUCCCUCUCUCGCUGUGUCUUUCUCUGUCAAAUAAAUAAAUAAAAUCUUUAAAAAAAAAAAAAAAGGAAGUGACAUUUAUCAACUGCAUAUUAUAUGCCUGGAACUAUAUUAUCCAUUGAUUUCCUGCUUAUGAUAGGUGAAGAUUCAACUCUCUUAAAUCCACCUAAGACUUUAAGUAAAAUAUUUAAGCCUCGGAAGAUUUAAGAUCAGUGACAGUAUGAAUAUCUACUUUGUUAAAAGGGGAUAUAUGCUCCUUCCCAUUCUCCUUGACUUUCUUUCUCUUUGUAGCUAUUAAAUUCUGUCAUAGGAAUGUUUCCCUUUUUACCUUAUUGCGAUUGAUAACAUUUUUAUAUAUAUGUAUAUAUAUAUUGUUAUCUCAACUGUUCUGGGGUUUGUCUAAAGGUUUAACACUGAAAUAAAAAAAAAAAACAUUGGUAUUACUAAGACUAUGUGAAUAUUCUUCAUGGCAGCGAAUGUAGUAUAGUCGUGAUUACAUGUUUUUUCUGUACUCUUACUGUUUUUCAUAAAGUUUUUAAUUGUCUUUGUUCCUAACAUACUCCCUCCACUCUCCAGUAUCUUUUAAAGAGAGAGGACCUGGGAAAUAAAUGCACUAAUUCUUACAUUCCUGAAAAUGUUUUCAUUCUGCUUUUACAUUUAAUU